UCGAGGAUCUUCCGCAAUGCGCGCAAGCGUGACGGAGCGACGCCGCGUGGGUGAUGAAGGCCUUCGGGUCGUAAAACCCUGUUAGCUACAGUGAAUUGCGGGUGGUGAAUAGCCAUCCCGCUUGACGUAAGUAGCAAAGAAAGCACCGGCUAACUACGUGCCAGCAGCCGCGGUAAUACGUAGGGUGCAAACGUUGUUCGGAAUCACUGGGCAUAAAGAGCGCGUAGGCGGUCUGAUAAGUCUUGUGUGAAAGCCCCCCGGCUCAACCGGGGGAAUUGCACUGGAUACUGUCGGGCUAGAGUACAGGAGGGGAGAGUGGAAUUCCUGGUGGAGCGGUGAAAUGCGUAGAUAUCAGGAGGAACGCCAGUGGCGAAAGCGACUCUCUGGGCGGCAACUGACGCUGAGGCACGAAAGCGUGGGGAGCAAACAGGAUUAGAUACCCAUGUAGUCCCUGAGCGGGCUGGCAAGGCGCAU
rnacentral:rRNA from 1 species